GCACUCCUACGGGAGGCAGCAGUGGGGAAUAUUGCACAAUGGGCGCAAGCCUGAUGCAGCCAUGCCGCGUGUAUGAAGAAGGCCUUCGGGUUGUAAAGUACUUUCAGCAGUGAGGAAGGUGGGUAUGUUAAUAGCAUAUUCAUUUGACGUUAGCUGCAGAAGAAGCACCGGCUAACUCCGUGCCAGCAGCCGCGGUAAUACGGAGGGUGCGAGCGUUAAUCGGAAUUACUGGGCGUAAAGCGCAUGCAGGUGGUUUGUUAAGUCAGAUGUGAAAGCCCGGGGCUCAACCUCGGAAUUGCAUUUGAAACUGGCAAACUAGAGUACUGUAGAGGGGGUAGAAUUUCAGGUGUAGCGGUGAAAUGCGUAGAGAUCUGAAGGAAUACCGGUGGCGAAGGCGGCCCCCUGGACAGAUACUGACACUCAGAUGCGAAAGCGUGGGGAGCAAACAGGAUUAGAUACCCUGUAG
rnacentral:rRNA from 1 species